GAGAAAGACAGAGGAAGGAACUUAUUGAGAGUGAAGAUCGAGGAGUGAAGAAAGAAGUAAGAAAGGAUUGGAGUGAUUGAGUUGCAGUGAUUCAUCUAUGGCCAUUGAAUGCCUGAGUCGAAGGCCAAGGCUCCACUUACCAUUCCAAGGCCUCUGGGGAGAGCACCUUCACCAGGAUGUCCUGACAGUCUUCUUUGCUGAUGGGCCAGGAGUCAUAGAUGAACAGCAGCACUUGGGCAUGAAGGCUGAAACUGAAGACCUCAUCAGGAGUUGACCUCAGUAUUUUAGUGUUGCUUCUUGUGCUCUAAAUCUAGGAUGACCUUCCCAUGCCCUAGAGGCAUGAGCUCAGAUCCCCCGAUGUGUGGUGCAGGGUGAAUUG
rnacentral:lncRNA from 1 species